GAUGAACGCUGGCGGCGUUCCUAAUACAUGCAAGUCGAGCGAACGGACGAGAAGCUUGCUUCUCUGAUGUUAGCGGCGGACGGGUGAGUAACACGUGGAUAACCUACCUAUAAGACUGGGAUAACUUCGGGAAACCGGAGCUAAUACCGGAUAAUAUUUUGAACCGCAUGGUUCAAAAGUGAAAGACGGUCUUGCUGUCACUUAUAGAUGGAUCCGCGCUGCAUUAGCUAGUUGGUAAGGUAACGGCUUACCAAGGCAACGAUGCAUAGCCGACCUGAGAGGGUGAUCGGCCACACGGGAACUGAGACACGGUCCAGACUCCUACGGGAGGAAGCAGUAGGGAAUCUUCCGCAAUGGGAGAAAGCCGGACGGAGCAACGGCGCGGGAGUGAUGAAGGUCUUCGGAUCGUAAAACUCUGUUAUUAGGGAAGACCAUAUGUGUAAGUAACUGUGCACAUCGUGACGGUACCUAAUCAGAAAGCAACGGCUAACUACGUG
rnacentral:rRNA from 1 species